UGCCGCAGCCAUAUCACCCUGCAGCCCAAGACUAGUUACUCACUUGAAGCUAAGCAGGGGUGAGCCUGGUCAGUACCUAGAUGGGAGACCACAUGGGAAAACUAGGUUGCAGUUGGAA
ensembl:rRNA 5S_rRNA 5S ribosomal RNA